rnacentral:sRNA from 2 species
UCUUUUAGAAAUGUGUCUUCCCAGGCGCCCUCCUCUUCAGCCAACAGGUUUGCUGAAUUUUUAUUCAGGACUUCUUCCGAAAUUCCAUUUUCUUGUAAUUCGUCUCUUCCUGCCAUAUGGUCUCUGUCGGACGAUUCCUUUUCCUCUGCGGGGUUAGGUUCUUCUUUAGGUGCCUUUGCCUCACAUGUAUCUUGAAUCGACUCGUAUUUAUUUAACGAGUCAUUGUUUUGAUUUGAUGGCACUUCUGCACUAUGCUUCAUAGAUUUGCCAUUUUUAUUGUUUCCAUGUACCUCAAGUAUCUCAGCAUCCGCAUAACUUCCAAUUGGAGGCACUGUUUCUCUUUCUAAUACCCCAGGACCAGGCUCACUUAUCGACGAGAUACGCAAGGCAUUCCGAGGUGGUAAUGGGGGAGGAGUGCGUUUGGGAAUGGUAAUGAGCCGAGCACGGGCGAAAGACGGGCUGGUAGGAUGAGCUUGGUUCAACACUCCAGGGAGAGAUUGAUCCUGAAUAACGAGGGAUCCUCCCCGGUUGGAGGUAGGCGGCAUACUUUCGACUCUAGAAGAGUUACCCACAUACGAGAUAUGGUGAUUCACCGAUGGUACCCUUUUAAAACUAUCUGAAAAAGGUCGGCGAGUCCCUGGUGGAGUGGCUGGGGGAGUGUUUGGGGGUUGCUGAUAGACGAAAUCGUCCGUCUGUGUGCCUCUGUCAGCGCUUGCAGUGCUCUGGACGCUGCUCCGCCAACUGGCCCUCGGAGAACUCUCAAUACUCGAUCUUGAAAAUCGAUUGUGUAAUGGGCUCGACGGACUGGGUCGGAAUGCAAACAUAUCAGCACUGGCUAUGCGCUUCGUUCCAGCUUCUCGAAUUAGUACACCCUCCUUUUCUAACGCCAUGACGCCAAACGGAUCCUGAUCCUCAGGCUGGGGAAUACCGAAUAUAUCGGUUUCCACAUCAGCAUCUCCAGGGACUUCACCUGGAGGUGGAAGCAUUGUCUCAUCAACAUCGGUAUCGCCCUGAGCUGCCUUUAUUGUCUCCAUUAAUGUUCCUAUUGAGGAUGGCGGAUGCCUUCCUUUACCCGCUAAAAUAUCAGCCACACCGAUUCGCUCACCAUAGAAACGCUCGUUUUCGUCGCUCCUCUCGAUUACGAUCGUACCAUCUACUUGAACCCCUGCAUAUAACCCCCUGCUCUUGACAUAUGUCCACACCGGAGCCCGUCGCUUGUGUACCUCAGAGUCCAUCACACCUCCCACACCAAACGGGCCAGCAGCAGCGCUGACUUCCCCGCCAAGUGUACAUCGUACCGCUUUGAAAGCCUCUAACGCCUCGUAAGUAUUGAUGACAACCACGCAAUCGUAGAUAUCGGCUCCAGCUAGAAACCCAAGUCCUGUGGUAUGCAACAUGAUUCCUGACGGAGGACUCCACUUUCCCGUUUCCUUGACCCUCGCGACAAGAAUCCCGCUACCUCCAGCUCCACUCAGCCAAAGGCCUGUUCUCAUUGCUGUAAAUAUUGCCAAGCCUUUAGCCUGCUUGAUAACAGCAGACGGUAUCUUUUUUACAACCCUUUGUUUCCCCUUUGGCCUGUCAAUAGUGUUCUUGUUGUUUUCCCCAGUAUCCUUGUAUCCCUCACCUCCAUCUUCAGAAGUUGUACGCGGACUUGUCCCGUUCGUCGCCUCGCUCUCAUUGUCGAUCUGCGUAUAGAAUCCAUCUUUGCAAAAACCUCGCAAUAUACGAGCUGCCUUAUCACUUUCCUUAUCCAGAGUUGUGGGCCAGAAAGCCUCCGCACCGAGUUUGUUCGACAGGCGAUUCACCGGGGGACCAAGCUUGUCCAAAGUAUUCCAGGCCUUGUCAAAUCCGCGCUUCGAAUAUCCUUUCGUCUUUCGCCAUUUUGAUUGCGGCAUUGUACCCUUCGUUGCUCGCCGAUUGUAAUCGGAGCCAAAGAUAGGGGCCGAAAGGGUGUUUGCUCAAACCCCAUGGACACUGGUAGUCAAGAAGUCAAACGCGUUUGGUGUUCAAGGAGUAGUUGGAGACAAAAGAUGCGCUCUUAUCCGGGAAGGCGAAAACUUGGGGGAAAUGUUUAACUUAGGGAAGGCUGGGAGCCCGUUCGGAACCUCGAAGUUUAAAUAACCCGACAAAUCUGUGCCUCGCAGUGACUUUUACUGAGGAUAAGUAGGUUUCCCAAAAAAUAAUUAUGUCCCAAAAAGACAAGAAAGAGAGUUUGAGGGUGCCAAAUCGCAAGGGAUAGUAGGUAUCUAUACAGGGAGUACAAAUUAUGGAAACAGACCCUCCAAGGGAAAUCCUCACCAAGCUCUUCAGGCACUUGUAGGCUGGUAAUUUAGGUGGGUUAUAUUACAACAAAGGGUGAUUGAUCAUGUUUGUUUUACUACCAAUGUAAUCUCCCAAUGAAACAUCUCUACCAAGAUGUUGGUUGCGGUCGAGCCUUUCAUACAAGUUUCUUCACGGUCAGUUUUUCAAGGUCGGUUCGAUGUUUUCAGCCGCCAACGGAGAAUUAGGAAAAAAAAGAAAUUAGAGAAUCAUGACAGGGUUUCCAGAUAUUGUACGGAGGAUGCAACAGGCAAAAAUGCAACUAUUGCGUAAGUCCGGGAUAUCCGGGAAGAGUUGGCUGGCUCGGCUCCAUCUCAACGUUCUUGAUCACAGUUCGUUCCACUUUUACAAUGGAUUCAUCUGGACUUCCUUAGGGCUGGUGGGUUCACGUGCACUGGGAGAGCUCCUAACCUACCCCUAUACCAAAGUUGGACUGAACGGCAAGAGGAUAUCAUUUUAUAUACUAUAAAACUUUUGAACAACAUCCCAGAAUCCUAAACGAUUGGAAAACACUGUUUUACCAGUUAAAAUAUUUCCGUCACUUUUUCAGAAACCGACUGGCCGCCAUCAAGCGCAUCCGCCUGUCGCCGAAGCAUCUCUGCUCUCAGUUUCUCAAACGCACGCUGGAUCCUCUCCUUUGACUCAGGGUCCUUCCCUAUUGUCCUCCGGGCGGAAUAAACGCCAGUGACAAGUCCCGUUUCUCCACCCAUAAACAACCCCCCAGCUGCGAACAAUGUAAACAUCGCCAUGUCGCUGAGUAUUGUGGGUCGAAGCAGAGGGCUCAGAUCAGGAACCGGCUCUUGUCCAAAGUAGAUACGAAGGAAUUGUUAGUUCAAACCUAUCAAAUAAUCCCUAAGGAAGAUCUUUUUUUUUCAUCUUUGUCAUUCCUACCUAGCCUGCCGCUUACAAACUGCACAUGAGUGGGCCUCUCCAUAACCUUGAAUGUAUUGAAUAUAUUCAUCCGCAUUCGCCGGACCCGUAAACCCAACCAUAUUCCCAGCCCAAUACCAACGACAGAACCGACGGCAGUGUGUGUUGCUAGCUUCGAUGCGGCGGAAUUCAGGGUAUCACGGUCCGAUUGCUGGAGAUUAUGCUUCAGAUGUUCCCGCCCCAGAUAGACAAGCUCCUGGCGGGUCGUGCCGCGGAAGGCCGCGAGCGAAUCGGGCAUUUUGUUUCUAGGUCUUUAUUUUCCGGCUUACCCUAACGGGAUAUAGACAUGGCACCCUUGGAAAUUGGGAAGGAAAGGCGUAUUCGCGACCAAUUCAAUUAUGGCCAUAAUUUCAUGAUGGUUAUGGCGAUGAGGGUUGAGCAGGCGGAGCUAUAUAAGCUCCUGAAUCUGUGACGUCAUCAUGCAAGCUUCUGAGAUCCAGACCUGGCUUGGUACUUAACAUUGCGUUCGUGAUUUUAAUAGCGUUGCCCAAAGAGAACGUCGUAUCUUGAAACAAAUUAAAUUUGAAUACGGAGA